rnacentral:rRNA from 1 species
AUUGAACGCUGGCGGAAUGCUUUACACAUGCAAGUCGAACGGCAGCACGGGGCAACCUGGUGGCGAGUGGCGAACGGGUGAGUAAUACAUCGGAACGUGCCCAAUCGUGGGGGAUAACGUAGCGAAAGUUACGCUAAUACCGCAUACGCCCUGAGGGGGAAAGUGGGGGACCGCAAGGCCUCACGUUAUACGAGCGGCCGAUGUCGGAUUAGCUAGUUGGUGGGGUAAAGGCCUACCAAGGCGACGAUCCGUAGCGGGUCUGAGAGGAUGAUCCCCCACACUGGUACUGAGACACGGACCAGACUCCUACGGGAGGCAGCAGUAAGGAAUAUUGGACAAUGGAGGCAACUCUGAUCCAGCCAUGCCGCGUGAAGGAUUAAGGCCCUAUGGGUUGUAAACUUCUUUUAGACGGGACAAAACCCCUUUACGUGUAAAGGGUUGAUGGUACUGUCAGAAUAAGCAUCGGCUAACUUCGUGCCAGCAGCCGCGGUAAU